UUAAGGACAAAGGUUCUGAUGAGAUUGUAUUCAAGGCCAUGGGGAGGGCUAUCAAUAAGACUAUCAUGGUUGUGGAAUUGAUCAAGAGGAGGAUUGUUGGCCUCCAUCAGAAUACCACCACUGGAUCUACUGAUAUUACUGAUAUGUGGGAGCCAUUGGAAGAAGGCCUACUUCCGCUUGAGACAACAAGACAUGUCUCUAUGAUCACUAUAACUCUUUCAAAGAAAGAGCUGGACACAUCAUCUAUCGGGUAU